rnacentral:rRNA from 1 species
AUUGAACGCUGGCGGUAUGCUUAACACAUGCAAGUCGAACGGUAGCGGGCCUUCGGGCGCUGACGAGUGGCGGACGGGUGAGUAAUGCAUAGGAAUCUGCCUAUUAGUGGGGGAUAACGUGGGGAAACUCACGCUAAUACCGCAUACGACCUACGGGUGAAAGGUGGGGAUCUUCGGACCUGCCGCUAAUAGAUGAGCCUAUGUUGGAUUAGCUAGUUGGUAGGGUAAAGGCCUACCAAGGCGACGAUCCAUAGCUGGUCUGAGAGGAUGAUCAGCCACACUGGGACGGAGACACGGCCCAGACUCCUACGGGAGGCAGAAGUGGGGAAUAUUGGACAAUGGGCGAAAGCCUGAUCCAGCAAUACCGCGUGUGUGAAGAAGGCCUGAGGGUUGUAAAGCACUUUCAAUGGGAAGGAAUACCUAUCGGUUAAUACCCGGUAGACUGACAUUACCCAUACAAGAAGCACCGGCUAACUCCGUGCCAGCCGCCGCGGUAACAC